ensembl:lncRNA
CAACAAUAUGGGUUCACUCAAGGUCAGCAGAUGUGGACAGGACAGAAAUGGAACUGGGGCCUUCUAGAAAGGAAGAAGAAACAGAAGAACGGGACCUGGGCCGGCCCUGGGCCUGCUUUGAGAUGUUUCCUGCUGAACAACCACCUGGCCUUCACCUCUGUGUUUCAUCGACUCCUUGCUGUGAAUCAAGUGCAGCCUCUUUCCAGCCACUCCCCAGUCCCAGCAACAAUUCCUUUGAGAGAACAACCUCAGGCCAGAAAUCUUCCUGCCCAGAGCAGUGAAAGGGCCCAAAUCUCAGUGAUGUCAAAGCCAGACACACCAUGAUUCUGCUGGUCUUUUCGUCAAGUUGCAAGAUGGCUGCUGCGGCUCCAGAUGUCACAUCUGCCCUCCAGGCUGAAAAAGGAGGGAAGAGCACAAAUCAGUGGCACUACUGGUGUUGAAUAGUUCUUUAUCAGUCAUUUAUUGUUGCUUAAAAUACUGUCGUAAAACUUAGUGGCUCAAAACAACAAUUAUUUAUUGGUUCAUGUUUCUUGGCAUCAGAGUUUGGGCAGGGGUCAGCUGGCAGUUCUUCCUCUGGUCUGAUGGGUUCACUCAGCGACAGCAGUUGGUGACUCAGUAGGUGCUAUAUUGUCCAAGAGAGCCUAAGUUGUGUAUCGCAUAUCUGGUAUUUGCUGCUGGCUUUUAAGAUGUGAUGACAGAAGCAGAGGUCAGAGUGAUGCCAUUGCUAGAAGGGGACCACUACCCAAGGAAUGUAGGUAGUAGCCUCUGCCAGCUGGAAAAGGCAAGAAGUGGACUCCUUCCCUGAAACUUCCAGAAAGAUCAAACUCUGCCAACACCUUGGUUUUACCCCAAUAAGACCAGUUUUGGACUUCAGACAUCAAGAACUAUAAGAGAAUAAAUGUGCUAUGUCACUUAUUACAGCAGCAAUAAGAAACUAUCUCCCUCCAUUGCUCUCUCAUUCUCUAAGGUAGAAGUUAGCCAACUAUGGCCUCAUUGCCUGAUUUUGUAAAUAACUUGUAUUGGAACAUACAUGUCCUUCCCUAUUAUCUAUGUCUGCUUUCAUGCUGCAGCAGCAC